UAAUACGGAGGGGGCUAGCGUUGUUCGGAAUUACUGGGCGUAAAGCGCGCGUAGGCGGCUCUUCAAGUCAGAGGUGAAAGCCUGGAGCUCAACUCCAGAACUGCCUUUGAAACUGGAUAGCUAGAAUCAUGGAGAGGUCAGUGGAAUUCCGAGUGUAGAGGUGAAAUUCGUAGAUAUUCGGAAGAACACCAGUGGCGAAGGCGACUGACUGGACAUGUAUUGACGCUGAGGUGCGAAAGCGUGGGGAGCAAACAGG
rnacentral:rRNA from 1 species